GGAUGUGAGGGCAAGCUAGCUACAAUAUCUGUCAUCCUACUGAUUGCCAGAGUUGAUUCAGCUGAUUUGAUUAGCUAAGGAAGUGUCUUCUUCCUCCUUCAUGACUCCAAGUACAUCUCUCCUGAAAAUUCAACAACCUCUGAUAACCUCCAAACAAGUUCUCAAGAAAUACAUCAUAAAAGUCUGUUGUUAUGGUUCAGUGGCAGAGCAUUCACUUAGUAUAAAAAGCCAGGGUUCAAUCCCCAGA
rnacentral:snRNA from 1 species